rnacentral:lncRNA from 1 species
UUACCUAUUCGUUACCUAUUCGUUACUUAUUCCCUAUUCCCUAUCGUUACCUAUUCGUUACUUAUUCCCUAUUCCUUAUUCGUUACUUAUUCGAUUUUUAAUAUCCUUCCCCCUUUUUAAUUAAGUCUCCCAAACAAAGUUUGGAGACUUAUUGUUUUUGCUCAGUUCUUAUUAUUUUUAUUAUGGCACCCUCAACGGAGUUGGGGUGACGUAUUGUUAUUCUACGUUUCUUUUUUUUCUUAUUAUGUCACCCGAUCGACAAUGUCGGGUGACAUAUUGCUUUUCCUCUGUUUCUUUUUCCCUAUUAUUAUGUCACCCGAUCGACAAUGUCGGGUGACAUAUUGCUUUUCCUCUAUUAUUAUUAUUUUUCUUCCACCUAAUUUUGUCCGGCAGUUUUCUCAGAGCCAAAGGAACCAAUCUGAAUGAUGGUGCACUAUAACAAGGAACCCUGACUUUCCUGUUGUUUUCUGGUAUUGGAACUAAAAAAAUGGCUGCCAUCACCAUGGAAACGGAAAAAUGGUGAAAAAAUAUAAUUUUGGAGUUGGGUGAAUUGUUUGAGAAUGCUUAACCUUAAAAUCUUUAGAUUUUAAUACAAUGUAGGUGCCCACUAUAUACUGCUUUGGGAUGAUUUUGGCAAUCAUUGGAACUGCUAUGUUGCCAUAGAUACUACACCAAAAAUUUCCGAAAUAUGGA